rnacentral:lncRNA from 1 species
UAGUCGAAGAGCUUGCGAGUGGCGACGACGUCGAUGUCCUUGAACUUGGUGGACUUGAGGGACUCGCCCCAGGGCACCGCGACGGCGGCGCCGCCGAACAUGUUGCCGAGGGCGCCGAGUGCGUUGGCGGCGAGGCGGCCCGAGGGGUCGGACGCGCGGGAGACAAAGGUGCGGAUCAUCGCGCGGGACGCCUCGGUGAUGUCCUGAAGGAGCUGCACCUCGGCGAGCUUGCCCUCGUCGUUGGCGCGGUAGAUGCGCUCGAUGUCGUCGCCGACGGAUUGGGCGAGGAGCUGGGGAAGCGCGAGAAUCUCCUCAUCCUCGCGGUCGAUGCCGGCGAUGUUGACGAGGGUGGCGACAGCCUCCUCCGCGGAGGGGGGGCAGCCGACGACGUGGAGGCCGCAGGGGAGGAGGCGGGACUCGAUCUCCAUCAGCUUCUGGUAAACCUUACCGACGAUCAUGUCGCGCUUGUCCUGGUCGAAAUCCUUGGCGUCCUCCUCCUCGGUGGGGAGCUCCUUAAUGUCCUUGUCGAGGUUGCACUGGAUCGCGGUGGUGACGAUGGAGUUGACGAUGGACGCGCCGCGGCCGGAGUCCUUCAGGCCCUGGUAAGACGCGAUGAGCUCCUUGAGCUCCUUGAGACCCUUGUACAGACCGGCGUUCUCGGCGGGCGGGGUCAGGUAGGAGAUCGUGUUGGCGUAGGAGCGGCGCUUGGCGAUGGUAGCCUCGGAAGGGUUGUUGGCGGCGUAGUAGUAGAUGUUCGGGGUGCUGCCGAUGAGGUGAUCGGGGUAGCAAUCGCCGGACAUGCCAACCUGCUUACCGGGCAUGAACUCCAGGGAGCCGUGGGUGCCAAAGUGGAGCACGGCGUCGGCACCGAAAACCUCCUCGAUGUAGGUGUAGUACGCCGCGAAACCGUGGUGGGGCGAGGCGGACUUGGAGAAGAGGAGGCGCAUGGGAUCGCCCUCGUAGCCAAAAGUGGGCUGGACGCCGAUGAAGACGUUGCCGAACUUCUUGCCGUACACGAGGAGGUUCUGGCCGUCGGAGUUGAGGUUGCCGGGGGGAGGGCCCCAGUUCUCGUGAAGGUCCUCCUGGUAGAUGCAGAGCUUCUCGUACUCCUUGACGGACAUCUUGUACUCGAUGUUCAUGUCGGGCGAGGCGAACUUGGCCUCCUUGUCGUUGAGGACGGAGUUGAUGAGGUCCUCCUCGGUCUUGGGCAGGUUACCGACGUUGUAGCCCUCCUUCUUGAGGCCCUGGAGCACGCGGUAGAUGGAGCCAAACACGUUGAGGUACGCGGCGGUGCC